rnacentral:tRNA from 1 species
CAAGUUAAACUUAGGGUGAAUAUUAUUUACAAUAAUAUUUUUGAUUUGUGCAAUUCAAUCUAACUUGA